rnacentral:rRNA from 1 species
GCUUAGAUAGAAAAGCAUUUCCCUUACACCGAAAAGCCCUCCGUGCAAAUCGGAGCACCCUGAUGCUUACCCGCUAGCUCACCCUUUAAACUAACGUUAAAAUAUGAAUAAUUAUAAAUAAAACACCUAUUUCAACCAAAACAUUUUACCCUUAAAGUAUAGGCGAUAGAAAUAAAAUAUGAAGCUAUAAAAAAGUACCGUAAGGGAAAGCUGAAAAAGAAGUGAAAUAAAUCAGUAAAGCAUAAAAAAGCAAAGAUUUAAUCUUGUACCUUUUGCAUCAUGGUUUAGCUAGAAAACAUUAAGCAAAAAGAACUUUAGUUUAACACCCCGAAACCAGGGGAGCUACCCCAAGACAGCCCUCAUAUAAGGGGCUUACCCAUCUCUGUGGCAAGAGAGUGGGGAGAGCUUUGGGUAGAGGUGAUAAACCUACCGAACCUGGUUAUAGCUGGUUGCCUGAGAAAUGAAUAGAAGUUCAGCAUAAAAUUUUUUCUAAACAUCCCACAUAAUCAGUCAAGAGAAAAUUUUAUAGUUAGUUUAAAGGGGUUCAGCCCUUUAAACAAAAGAAACAACUUUUUUAGGUGGAUAAAGUUCAUAAGUAAAAUUAGGUACUGUACACUUUGU